AGAACUUGGGAAUGAGAAGCGCGUUGAACUGCAAUAAACGGAGAACGGGCGUGGAAAUGAGUACACCUGGACUGACCAGGGCCUUCCUAGGGCCUUCCCAGAUCUUCCCAGAUUCUGCCGGCUCAGCCAAAAGGUGUGAAAGCAUACAAAGACAAUAUUGUCAAAGCAACAAGUGCACCCAAAGCUACCCGUGCAGACGGAUGCAACGAAAGAUGUACCCAAAACUCCCUUCUGGAUUCAUCACUGAAAAAGCAUUGUGGAAAAGAAAUAACACGAAAAGCCUCAGGAUUGAUCGCGAGAUAGAUGGCCAGAAAUAGAGCGCAAGGUGAUGAUCUGCUUACCCAAGAGUGUCAUGGAGAAUCCGGUCACGAGACAAAGAUGGUAUCCGAGUUUCCAACCCUGGAGCAAGCUGGCCGUGAGAUCAAUGGGAAUGCCAAUUAGCGAAAUAAGCAGCUCCGCCACGAUCAAGUUCAUUAACACCAAGUUGAAAGGCGUCUGGAGCUGAAACAAUCGAAGUGAGAGAGCCUUUGGAACGUAAGCACCCAUUGGCUGGAACAACGUACACCUUUGGGAAAACCCAUUAAAACGUCUUGGACAUGAACGGUACACUAUAACACCUAGCCUUGAACCUCUUAAAGGAAGAAGCACUUCAAUUUGAACACCACCGUACCCGGAUCUUGACCUUGGUUUCACCCUCGUCACCUUCUCGUUAUCAAUAAGCACGGUAUUCUAGUUAAGGGGACUAGUCAUGGGGUCUAGAUUUCGGCUUCAUUACUUUGGGUCAACUGGAUGCUUUGGGAAUUGUUGCCAGUCGCUUGCUCCAAAUGCAGGAGAAAAAGCCAAUACGGCCAUCGGUGGAGGGUUUUUCAUCAUUGAAAAUCGAAAUAUUGGCCUUUGAACCCGUAUACCCACCAACUAUAUUUAGACCGAAACUCUCACCUUCGGCUAAAAACGAGCUUUCGAGCCUGACAAAUAUCGCUGUGGUGGCAUGGUAUGGGAUGGUGUUGGGGAUGCCAGUUUUUUUUAAUCGUUUCUAAGCUGUUUAUUUCUACCUAGUGAGAAAUGGAGACGGAAAAGUGCGAUCCAAAGUAUUGGUCGCUUGGUACGUCUAUCGAUAUUGGCUACCGGUUUCAUUAGCCUCGAUUGGUUCCAAGGGAUUGCAGAAGGCUUAAUUGAAAAGUGGACCCUACGAACGUGCGAACAAUUGGACCAGAAAUUGUUGCGUCUUUCGUUGUUAUUGGACGGACAUAAGUGAAAAUAUCCCAGCCAAGUGCCAACUCUCUAGAAGCAGAGGUCAGCAAUUCAUCAAGAGUUUCUCAGGCCUCCCUCGAAUGGACUGGCUCGCUUUCUCGGCUUUCUAGCCCACGUUAUUGGGGCUUCUGAUCUUUUCCCAUUGGACUCCUCUUCCGCUAUAUGAACUCUUGACUUGGAUGGUUCUCGUAAAUAAAAGAAAUUCGACAUGUCAUUGCCAU